rnacentral:rRNA from 1 species
AUUGAACGCUGGCGGCAUGCUUUACACAUGCCAGUCGAACGGCAGCGCGGGCUUCGGCCUGGCGGCGAGUGGCGAACGGGUGAGUAAUGCAUCGGAACGUGCCCAGUAGUGGGGGAUAGCCCGGCGAAAGCCGGAUUAAUACCGCAUACGACCUGAGGGUGAAAGCGGGGGACCGAAAGGCCUCGCGCUAUUGGAGCGGCCGAUGUCGGAUUAGCUAGUUGGUGGGGUAAAGGCUUACCAAGGCGACGAUCCGUAGCUGGUCUGAGAGGACGACCAGCCACACUGGGACUGAGACACGGCCCAGACUCCUACGGGAGGCAGCAGUGGGGAAUUUUGGACAAUGGGGGCAACCCUGAUCCAGCCAUGCCGCGUGCGGGAAGAAGGCCUUCGGGUUGUAAACCGCUUUUGUUCGGGAAGAAAUCAUCUGGGAUAAUACCCCGGGGGGAUGACGGUACCGGAAGAAUAAGCACCGGCUAACUACGUG